AAAUUGAAGAGUUUGAUCAUGGCUCAGAUUGAACGCUGGCGGCAGGCCUAACACAUGCAAGUCGAACGGUAACAGGAAGCAGCUUGCUGCUUUGCUGACGAGUGGCGGACGGGUGAGUAAUGUCUGGGAAACUGCCUGAUGGAGGGGGAUAACUACUGGAAACGGUAGCUAAUACCGCAUAACGUCGCAAGACCAAAGAGGGGGACCUUCGGGCCUCUUGCCAUCGGAUGUGCCCAGAUGGGAUUAGCUAGUAGGUGGGGUAACGGCUCACCUAGGCGACGAUCCCUAGCUGGUCUGAGAGGAUGACCAGCCACACUGGAACUGAGACACGGUCCAGACUCCUACGGGAGGCAGCAGUGGGGAAUAUUGCACAAUGGGCGCAAGCCUGAUGCAGCCAUGCCGCGUGUAUGAAGAAGGCCUUCGGGUUGUAAAGUACUUUCAGCGGGGAGGAAGGCGAUAAGGUUAAUAACCUUGUCGAUUGACGUUACCCGCAGAAGAAGCACCGGCUAACUCCGUGCCAGCAGCCGCGGUAAUACGGAGGGUGCAAGCGUUAAUCGGAAUUACUGGGCGUAAAGCGCACGCAGGCGGUCUGUCAAGUCGGAUGUGAAAUCCCCGGGCUCAACCUGGGAACUGCAUUCGAAACUGGCAGGCUAGAGUCUUGUAGAGGGGGGUAGAAUUCCAGGUGUAGCGGUGAAAUGCGUAGAGAUCUGGAGGAAUACCGGUGGCGAAGGCGGCCCCCUGGACAAAGACUGACGCUCAGGUGCGAAAGCGUGGGGAGCAAACAGGAUUAGAUACCCUGGUAGUCCACGCCGUAAACGAUGUCGACUUGGAGGUUGUGCCCUUGAGGCGUGGCUUCCGGAGCUAACGCGUUAAGUCGACCGCCUGGGGAGUACGGCCGCAAGGUUAAAACUCAAAUGAAUUGACGGGGGCCCGCACAAGCGGUGGAGCAUGUGGUUUAAUUCGAUGCAACGCGAAGAACCUUACCUACUCUUGACAUCCAGAGAACUUAGCAGAGAUGCUUUGGUGCCUUCGGGAGCUCUGAGACAGGUGCUGCAUGGCUGUCGUCAGCUCGUGUUGUGAAAUGUUGGGUUAAGUCCCGCAACGAGCGCAACCCUUAUCCUUUGUUGCCAGCGGUCCGGCCGGGAACUCAAAGGAGACUGCCAGUGAUAAACUGGAGGAAGGUGGGGAUGACGUCAAGUCAUCAUGGCCCUUACGAGUAGGGCUACACACGUGCUACAAUGGCGCAUACAAAGAGAAGCGACCUCGCGAGAGCAAGCGGACCUCAUAAAGUGCGUCGUAGUCCGGAUUGGAGUCUGCAACUCGACUCCAUGAAGUCGGAAUCGCUAGUAAUCGUGGAUCAGAAUGCCACGGUGAAUACGUUCCCGGGCCUUGUACACACCGCCCGUCACACCAUGGGAGUGGGUUGCAAAAGAAGUAGGUAGCUUAACCUUCGGGAGGGCGCUUACCACUUUGUGAUUCAUGACUGGGGUGAAGUCGUAACAAGGUAACCGUAGGGGAACCUGCGGUUGGAUCACCUCCUUA
rnacentral:rRNA from 1 species